rnacentral:rRNA from 1 species
GACAGAGGGUGCAAACGUUGCUCGGAAUUACUGGGCGUAAAGCGUGCGCAGGCGGUUUUGUAAGUCUGUCGUGAAAGCCCCGGGCUCAACCUGGGAAUUGCGAUGGAGACUGCAAGGCUUGAAUCUGGCAGAGGGGGGGUAGAAUUCCACGUGUAGCAGUGAAAUGCGUAGAGAUGUGGAGGAACACCGAUGGCGAAGGCAGCCCCCUGGGUCAAGACUGACGCUCAUGCACGAAAGCGUGGGGAGCAAACAGG